UACAAUGCGGGAAACCGUGAUAAGGGAACUCCGAGUGUCCGUAAAUUCGGACUGUCCGUAUGUUUAAAAAGCAUACGAAGAAAGGGCCGGGCAAGACCGGUGCCAGCCGCCGCGGUAAUACCGGCGGCUCGAGUGGUGGCCACUAUUACUGGGCUUAAAGCGUUCGUAGCUUGGUUGUUAAGUCUCUUGGGAAAUCUAUCGGCUUAACCGAUAGGCGUCCAGGGGAUACUGGCAAUCUAGGGACCGGGAGAGGUGAGGGGUACUUCAGGGGUAGGAGUGAAAUCCUGUAAUCCUUGGGGGACCACCUGUGGCGAAGGCGCCUCACCAGAACGGCUCCGACAGUGAGGGACGAAAGCUGGGGGAGCAAACCGGAUUAGAUACCCGGGUAGUCCCAGCCGUAAACGAUGCACGUUAGGUGUAUCGAUGACCACGAGUCAUCGAGGUGCCGAAGGGAAACCGUGAAACGUG
rnacentral:rRNA from 1 species